rnacentral:rRNA from 1 species
AGCGAACGCUGGCGGCAGGCCUAACACAUGCAAGUCGAACGAACCUUUCGGGGUUAGUGGCGGACGGGUGAGUAACACGUGGGAACGUGCCUUUAGGUUCGGAAUAACUCAGGGAAACUUGUGCUAAUACCGAAUGUGCCCUUCGGGGGAAAGAUUAAUCGCCUUUAGAGCGGCCGCGUCUGAUUAGCUAGUUGGUUGAGGUAAUGGCUCACCAAGGCGACGAUCAGUAGCUGGUCUGAGAGGAUGAUCAGCCACAUUGGGACUGAGACACGGCCCAAACUCCUACGGGAGGCAGCAGUGGGGAAUCUUGCGCAAUGGGCGAAAGCCUGACGCAGCCAUGCCGCGUGAAUGAUGAAAGUCUUAGGAUUGUAAAAUUCUUUCACCGGGGACGAUAAUGACGGUACCCGGAGAAGAAGCCCCGGCUAACUUCGUG